ACCUCAGUAACGGCGAGUGAAGCGGUAACAGCUCAAAUUUGAAAUCUGGGUCUUUCAGGCUCCGAGUUGUAAUUUGUAGAAGAUGCUUUGGGUGCGGCCCCGGUCUAAGUUCCUUGGAACAGGACGUCAUAGAGGGUGAGAAUCCCGUAUGUGAUCGGUGGCUUGCGCCCGUGUAAAGCUCUUUCGACGAGUCGGGUUGUUUGGGAAUGCAGCUCUAAAUGGGUGGUAAAUUUCAUCUAAAGCUAAAUAUUGGCCAGAGACCGAUAGCGCACAAGUAGAGUGAUCGAAAGAUGAAAAGGACUUUGGAAAGAGAGUUAAACAGUACGUGAAAUUGUUGAAAGGGAAGCGCUUGCAACCAGACUUGCGCGGGGUUGAUCAUCCGGGGUUCUCCCCGGUGCACUCGGCCUCGCUCAGGCCAGCAUCGGUUUCGGUGGUUGGAUAAAGGCCUUGGGAAUGUGACUUCUUUCGGGGAGUGUUAUAGCCCUCGGUGCAAUGCAGCCUACCGGGACCGAGGACCGCGCUUCGGCUAGGAUGCUGGCGUAAUGGUUGUAAGCGACCCGUCUUGAAACACGGACCAAGGAGUCUAACAUCUAUGCGAGUGUUUGGGUGUCAAACCCAUACGCGUAAUGAAAGUGAACGGAGGUGAGAACCCUUAAGGGUGCAUCAUCGACCGAUCCUGAUGUCUUCGGAUGGAUUUGAGUAAGAGCAUAGCUGUUGGGACCCGAAAGAUGGUGAACUAUGCCUGAAUAGGGUGAAGCCAGAGGAAACUCUGGUGGAGGCUCGCAGCGGUUCUGACGUGCAAAUCGAUCGUCAAAUUUGGCAUAGGGCGAAAGACU
rnacentral:rRNA from 1 species